ACGAACGCUGGCGGCGUGGAUUAGGCAUGCAAGUCGAACGGAACUUCUAGCUUUUUCGGAAGUUUAGUGGCGAAAGGGUGAGUAACACGUGGGUUACCUGCCCUAGGGUUCGGGAUAACCUGUCGAAAGACGGGCUAAUACCGGAUACGUCCUGUAUCUUUCGAGAUACAGGGGAAAGAUGGGGAUCCGUAAGGACCUAUCACCCUUGGAUGGGCCCGCGGCCUAUCAGCUAGUUGGUGAGGUAAUGGCUCACCAAGGCUAAGACGGGUAGCUGGUCUGAGAGGAUGGUCAGCCACACUGGAACUGAGACACUGUCCAGACACCUACGGGUGGCUGCAGUCGAGAAUCUUUCGCAAUGGGGGAAACCCUGACGACGCGACGCCGCGUGGAGGAUGAAGGCCUUCGGGUUGUAAACUCCUUUUAUAUGUCAAGAAAAUGACGGUAGCAUAUGAAUAAGCACCGGCUAACUCCGU
rnacentral:rRNA from 1 species